UUUUGUUAUUAUCUUGGUCCUUUAGAAAGGUAUUGUUCAGUAUGGUAGCCACUAAUCACAUGUGGCAAUUUGAAAUUCUAUUUUAGGAUACCGGACCAACAUGGCAGAGAUAUAGGGGGAUCCAUACUUCCCAUGUCUCUCAAACAAAGAAGUGCUGAAGCCAAACGACUUUGAACCCCAAGAGACUGGGAGGAAGAGACUGAAUCUACCAGGAAGAAAAUGAGACAACUUGAGAGACCAUAGUUUGUCUACUGGGAAAUGUGGAAGUGGGGAUACUCCAUGAUGGGGAUGAGGACAACUUGCAGCCAGGUUGUGGACCUACUUUGAGAGGCAGAGUUUCCACCCUGAAGAGUCUCACCAUUGGGCAUUGUGUUCUGUGGCUUGCCUUUCAGUGCUUGCUGUUUAG